GGGCAUUUAGUGUAACGGUAGCACGUCGAGUUGCAACUUGGAAGCCCGGAUGUUCGAAUCCCGGAGCGUCCG
rnacentral:tRNA from 1 species